rnacentral:rRNA from 1 species
UACGUAGGGUGCAAGCGUUGUCCGGAAUUAUUGGGCGUAAAGAGCUCGUAGGCGGUUUGUUGCGUCGGCUGUGAAAUCCCGAGGCUCAACCUCGGGUCUGCAGUCGAUACGAGCAAACUAGAGUGUUGCAGGGGAGACUGGAAUUCCUGGUGUAGCGGUGAAAUGCGCAGAUAUCAGGAGGAACACCGGUGGCGAAGGCGGCGACCUGGGCAGAUACUGACGCUGAGGUGCGAAAGCGUGGGGAGCAAACAGG